GCCAAUAAUACGUCACUGUUAAAAGAAUAUGCUAUACAACGAUUCACUUUAAAAUUACAAUAACAAACCUCUGUAAAAGGUAGUUUCUCUAUAGAUUUAUAAUAAAAACUGGUGACAUAAGAAUUGUCGUGUCCAAAAUCAAUGUGAUACACCAAAUACACUGCAGCACCCUCCCUCCAUGAUGAAACAGACCAGAAAAAAAAAUUCAUCAACAUAUCAGCUGUCAGGUGGCACUCAGUGAUGAACUAAGCACCUGGAUCUUAUUCACGAGUAAAUUUACUUGUUCUCUGUACAUUUCCUUCAUAUCAAUAAUAUCAGCACGAAGUUCUU
rnacentral:misc_RNA from 1 species